UACGGAGGGUGCGAGCGUUGUCCGGAAUCACUGGGCGUAAAGGGCGCGUAGGUGGCGCGGGCAGUCAACGGUGAAAGUUCGGGGCUCAACCCUGAAUCGGCCGUCGAUACUCCCGUGCUUGAGCACUGUAGAGGCAGAUGGAAUUCCGGGUGUAGCGGUGGAAUGCGGUAGAGAUCCGGAAGAACACCGGUGGCGAAGGCGGUCUGCUGGGCCAAGACUGACGCUGAGGCGCGACAGCGUGGGGGAGCAAACAGG
rnacentral:rRNA from 1 species